GGCUCACCUCGCUCCCAUUGGUUCCGGCCAGGCUGUUACUGAGGCGGAGACACGGGUGAUGAUUGGCUUUCUGGGGAGAGAGGAAGUCCUGUGAUUGGCCAGAUCUCUGGAGCUCGCCGACGCGGUGUGAGGACGCUCCCACGGAGGCCGGAAUUGGCUGUGAAAGGACUGAGGCAGCCAUCUGGGGGUAGCGGGCACUCUUAUCAGAGCGGCUGGAGCCGGACCAUCGUCCCAGAGAGCUGGGGCAGGGGGCCGUGCCCAAUCUCCAGGGCUCCUGGGGCCACUGCUGACCUGGCUGGAUGCAUCGGGCAGUGGACCCUCCAGGGGCCCGCGCUGCACGGGAAGCCUUUGCCCUUGGGGGCCUGAGCUGUGCUGGGGCCUGGAGCUCCUGCCCGCCUCAUCCCCCUCCUCGUAGCGCAUGGCUGCCUGGAGGCAGAUGCUCAGCCAGCAUUGGGCAGCCCCCGCUUCCUGCUCCCCUACCCCCUUCACAUGGCAGUAGUUCUGGGCACCCCAACAAACCAUAUUAUGCUCCAGGGGCGCCCACUCCAAGACCCCUCCAUGGGAAGCUGGAAUCCCUGCAUGGCUGUGUGCAGGCAUUGCUCCGGGAGCCAGCCCAGCCAGGGCUUUGGGAACAGCUUGGGCAACUGUACGAGUCAGAGCACGAUAGUGAGGAGGCCACACGCUGCUACCACAGCGCCCUUCGAUACGGAGGAAGCUUCGCUGAGCUGGGGCCCCGCAUUGGUCGACUGCAGCAGGU
rnacentral:lncRNA from 1 species